rnacentral:lncRNA from 1 species
GUCUGUCUGGCAUGGUUCAUCUGACCUUGACCUCGAUUUCAUGGUUCAUUGAUCAAUGUUUAGUUUUCUUGGUUAAUGUUGAGUUUAUGUAACAGGUGUGAUAAAGCUUUAUAUUUAGGACUAUCAACAUAAUAUCAAUGAUUAGUAAAGAAGGCGAGACAUUUCAGCGUGUGCACUCUUGUUUUGAUACAUGUAGUGAAACAGAAUAAACCACCAGGCUGUCCUAUUAUUUUGUCAGAAUUCCUAAUCAGAAG